AGAGAGACAAGGAAAUGCUGUCACCGCGGUUAACACGCACGUGGAGGUUGGUUAAAGGUAUAGGAGGAUCUCUUGCAGCUCAGGCGGGGCGGAGGAUGUGUCCCGGGGGCUUGAGGGGAGUAGUCAGUAUUAAGUGGCUGGCCCAUAGUAGGUGCCUGUAGGUGAGCUUAGGGCAGGAAGUACCCCCUGGGAAGGGAGACUAGUGGAAUGGGAAAAGAAAAAUGGAAAAUGGAAUUAGGGGCCAGACUCUGAGGCAAGGUGAUGGGGACACAUAGAGAAAAGGGUAAUCUGGUUGUGGGGAGAAAUUAGGGCAUGAGAGUGGGAGAGGUUGAAAUGACUUGUGGACCAUGCCCCGAGUGGGGAGGUGCAGUGGGGUGAGGAAGAGACGGUGAGGUGAGAAGGAAGAUGGCUGAAUGGGAAGGGGGAAGAAGGAAAUUUGGGACCAAGGUAUCCCAGACCAGAGUGGUUUUCCUCUUCUAGUUUUGGUUUUGUUUUGUUUUGUUUGAGACGGAGACUAGCUCUGUCGCUCAGGUUGGAGUGCAGUGGCGCGAUCUCGGCUCACUGCAACCUCCACCUCCCGGGUUCAAGCAAUUCUCUGCCUCAGCCUCCCGGGUAGCUGGGAUUACAGGCGCCCGCCACCACGCCCGGCUAAGUUUUGUAUUUUUAGUAGAGACGGUGUUUCACCAUGUUGGCCAGGCUAGUCUCAAACUCCUGAUCUCAAGUGAUCUACCCGCCUUGGCCUCCCAAAGUGCCGGGAUUAUAGGCGUGAGCCACCGCGCCCGCCACCUCUUCUAGUUUUAAACCCCUUCCCUCCAGCCUCAUUUAUUUAAGCAAGGGUCAGAGCAUUUUACUCCCUUUGCUCAUGGUUUCCCCUGCCAUGGUGCACUGGAGUUCAUAGGAGCCAGUGUCCUGGUAGAUAGCAAGGCUGCCAAUGUCCCAUUUCUCCAGGGUCUCCCCAAUCUUUGUCAAGCUUCCCUUUUUCCACAUUUUGCCCAUGCUAGGUAGUAGGAGUCUAGCCCCUAGGUCAAUGCAAGCAAUUGCCAACUGAGAGUACACUGAGCAGGUGGCUGUGCAUAGCCUUUCCAGGCUGUGGAUGCAAGGCUGAAAAAUGGGAAACCCACUCAUGCCCAGUCCAAUUCUGAGCUGGCUGGGGCGGCCUUGGGUCGAGACCUCUCUGUAGCCCUGCUUUCCACCAGCAUCAGGAAGGGGAACUGCAAGAGCCAUCUAGGCAGGCACCCAGGACUGUGCCAGGGAAGACCUGGGUUUUAGUCCUGUCUCCAUCAACCUCAAGAAAUGGGACCUCAUGGAAGGGAGGGGAGGCAAUGCCGAGGAUGUGCUCCUGAGCAGGUGCCACAAUUCUUCACCUGUAAGGCUGAUCUAAGAAGAUUCCUAAUUAUCAAUUGAGAGCAGAGAUAUUCCACUUCCAAUUACAUGGCCUGCCUGCUCACUCUUACUUCCUAUUCACACUCUCUUGGAGACCACUUUGUGAUUCUACCAAAUUCUAUAGGAGAGGUGACAACCCCAAAGAGAAGGCUCUAGAAAGAUGACAUUUGGAAAUGUGUACGCUAGUGUCUGCUGGCUCCUCCUGAGCCAUUUUUACUCUGUGAAUGAGAUCAAAGGCCACCUAACUGCCUAAAUCACCACAAAGGGACAAACUGGUAUCUCAGAGCACUCAGCAACAAAAACAAGAAAGCUAAGCCUCUGCACUGCAAUGUGGCAGGGCUUCUGGCUAAGUAUAGCAAGCAAUUCUGAUGUGGAGACAAACAGCAGCAAUGGGAAUGAUAUGCCAAUGAAGGAUUCCAACAGUUGGGUCUGCAAGUGUGCUUGUCCUGUGACACAAACGGCCUAGACAUCUCAGCACUGCUUGGAGCUGCUCAUUGGGGGAGCCUAAGAAACAUCAGCCCUUUCACAACCUCUUGCUCCUGAGCAGAGCUCAUCUCCCAAGAGCACAUCAGCCCGCAGCCCAGUCUGAUGAGAAGCACAGUAUUCCCCUGUGCCAGUGGCAGCCUCAGAGCAUCCUGAAAGAGCGCUUCCUAGACACGCAGUGGAAGCCAUGACUUCCCCUAAGCUGCCGGUGCUGCCUCUGAACUCAUGUGGAGGUUCUUUUUUCAGUGUCCCCAGAGGCAGCAGAAAAAUCCGUUUUCCAUUUUGGAAUCUAUCAAGUAGGACAAAUCUGCCACCUGGGAGCAUCUCCUCAAGGGCAAUCUCUGCUCCCUUUCCUACAUGGCCUGACAAUACCCUCGAGUUAGAAAUGUCCCAUGUUGGCUAGGCACAGUGGCUCAUGCCUGUAAUCCCAGCACUUUGGGAGGCUGAGGUGGGAGGAUUGCUUGAGGCCAGGAGUUUUGAGACCAGCCUGACAUAGAGAGACUAUGCCUCUAUUAUUUUAAAAAAAGAAAUGUCACAUAUUUUUACCCUCUUCACUCAUCUUUCCAC
rnacentral:lncRNA from 10 species